GGGCUUGACAUCCCACGAACCUGGCGAAAGGCAGGGGUGCCCGCAAGGGAGCGCGGAGACAGGUGGUGCAUGGCUGUCGUCAGCUCGUGUCGUGAGAUGUUGGGUUAAGUCCCGCAACGAGCGCAACCCUCACCCCUUGUUGCCAUCAGGUCAUGCUGGGCACUCUAGGGGAACUGCCCCGGUCAACGGGGAGGAAGGUGGGGACGACGUCAAGUCAUCAUGCCCCUUACGUCCUGGGCUACACACGUGCUACAAUGGCCGGUACAAAGGGAUGCAAGACCGCGAGGUGGAGCCAAACCCAAAAAGCCGGCCUAAGUUCAGAUUGGAGUCUGCAACUCGACUCCAUGAAGGAGGAAUCGCUAGUAAUCGCGCAUCAGCACGGCGCGGUGAAUACGUUCCCGGGCCUUGUACACACCACCAGUCGCACCACGAAAGCCAGCUGUACUCGAAGUCGCUGAGA
rnacentral:rRNA from 1 species